rnacentral:lncRNA from 1 species
AAAUAUAUCUCUAAACUGUAAAGCAGAAUUUGUAGUAUUUUAGAGAGUAAAAAUUUGUCGAAUGGUUCCCCCUCCAGCAAGAAAUACAUUUCCUCCGAUCCUUCGUGUGUAAGUUCGGUAAGAUUGGUGCACUGUCCCAUACUUUUUUUGAUAUGCUAUACAAUGUGUAUCACUAUAAAAACUUAUUCAUACAAUAUUGUCUAUCGCUAAAUGUGUAUCCGUGAAUCACUCUAUAUAUAUCACAUGUCUUCUGAUCCUUCGUGUGUU